GAUGAACGCUGGCGGCGUGCCUAAUACAUGCAAGUCGAGCGAACGGACGAGAAGCUUGCUUCUCUGAUGUUAGCGGCGGACGGGUGAGUAACACGUGUAUAACCUACCUAUAAGACUGGGAUAACUUCGGGAAACCGGAGCUAAUACCGGAUGAUAUUUUGAACCGCAUGGUUCAAAAGUGAAAGACGGUCUUGCUGUCACUUAUAGAUGGAUCCGCGCUGCAUUAGCUAGUUGGUAAGGUAACGGCUUACCAAGGCAACGAUGCAUAGCCGACCUGAGAGGGUGAUCGGCCACACUGGAACUGAGACACGGUCCAGACUCCUACGGGAGGCAGCAGUAGGGAAUCUUCCGCAAUGGGCGAAAGCCUGACGGAGCAACGCCGCGUGAGUGAUGAAGGUCUUCGGAUCGUAAAACUCUGUUAUUAGGGAAGAACAUAUGUGUAAGUAACUGUGCACAUCUUGACGGUACCUAAUCAGAAAGCCACGGCUAACUACGUG
rnacentral:rRNA from 1 species